rnacentral:misc_RNA from 1 species
GCCGUUGGAUAUGGAUCAAGCAAAUGGAUUGGAUUACAUCAUUGUUAAACAUUCAUGGGGACCUACAUGGGGAGAAAAUGGUUACGUAAGAAUGAAGAGAAACACUGGCUGGCCUUCAGGAUUAUGUGGAAUCAAUAAAAUGGCUUCUCAUCCCAUUAAAAAUUAGAGAUUGCAAGGCAUUUGGUUUUCAGUUCCAUGAGUAAAAGUUGUUACAAUAUAUUAAUAAGUUUCAAAAGUUAAACCAAGUAGUGGCGUGCAAGAUGUCUUCUACUUAUUAAUCAAUAAUUUGAUGAACUUUUUUAAUGUAAUUUGGCAGUCAUCCAUCUCAUUUUCGUUUUCAAAGUAU